AAUCUUGUCUAUACUAUAAAUGCCUACUUCCAUGAAGUAAAUGAAACAUCUGCUAUCUAUCUUUGAAUCAAGUUAACUAAGAUAUGGCUUCCUUAAAGCAAGCUUUUCUCCUCAUUGCUUUCUUUGUUGUAAUUUCAGUUAAUCUCUCUUGGAGUCCUAAAGUGAUGGCUUUAAGAAACUUACCAAUUGCUAUUGCAGAGGUCAUAAAAGGAAAAUUACUUCUUCCAAUUGGUAAUAAAGAAAUGACUUGUUAUCGAACUUGCACUUCAGAUAGCGAUUGCAGUGAUGGUUACGCGUGUACAAGGUGUUCACAACGUUUUACCGUAUUUGGACACUAUGAAUAUUGGGAAUGCUCUGUGUUUUGAAGUUUAGGAUUGUUCAACAUCUUAUUAACAAGUGCACGGUUACUGAUGCAGGCUAUUUUGAAACUAUCCUUUGGACAAGUUAAAUAAUGUUUGUGUAACAAAAAUAAAUAUGUAACCUUUUAAGUUUUUCAAAUCUUGAGAAACUAUUCGCUUUAAUAAGUUACUGAUGAAAGUUAUUUUAUGACUA